rnacentral:rRNA from 1 species
UGGGUAACCUGCCUCAAAGAGGGGAAUAGCCUCCCGAAAGGGAGAUUAAUACCGCAUAAUAUGUUUAGGUCGCAUGACUUUAACAUCAAAGGAUUUUCUUUUAGAAAUUCCACUUUGAGAUAGACCCGCGGCGCAUUAGCUAGUUGGUGAGGUAACGGCUCACCAAGGCAACGAUGCGUAGCCGACCUGAGAGGGUNAUCGGCCACAUUGGAACUGAGACACGGCCCAGACUCCGUAGGACG